rnacentral:rRNA from 1 species
UACGGAGGGUGCAAGCGUUAUCCGGAUUUACUGGGUUUAAAGGGUGCGCAGGCGGAUAUGUAAGUCAGUGGUGAAAUCUUCCCGCUUAACGGGAAAACUGCCGUUGAUACUAUAUAUCUUGAAUAUCGUGGAGGUUAGCGGAAUAUGUCAUGUAGCGGUGAAAUGCUUAGAUAUGACAUAGAACACCCAUUGCGAAGGCAGCUAACUACGCGAUAAUUGACGCUGAUGCACGAAAGCGUGGGGAUCAAACAGG